GCAUAUCAAUAAGCGGAGGAAAAGAAACCAACCGGGAUUGCCUCAGUAACGGCGAGUGAAGCGGCAAGAGCUCAAAUUUGAAAGCUGGCUCCUUCGGGGUCCGCAUUGUAAUUUGCAGAGGAUGCUUCGGGUGCGGCCCCUGUCUAAGUGCCCUGGAACGGGCCGUCAGAGAGGGUGAGAAUCCCGUCUGGGAUGGGGUGUCCGCGCCCGUGUGAAGCUCCUUCGACGAGUCGAGUUGUUUGGGAAUGCAGCUCUAAAUGGGUGGUAAAUUUCAUCUAAAGCUAAAUACUGGCCGGAGACCGAUAGCGCACAAGUAGAGUGAUCGAAAGAUGAAAAGCACUUUGAAAAGAGAGUUAAAAAGCACGUGAAAUUGUUGAAAGGGAAGCGCUUGCGACCAGACUCGCCUCCAGGGUUCAGCCGGCAUUCGUGCCGGUGUACUUCCCUGGGGGCGGGCCAGCGUCGGUUUGGGCGGCCGGUCAAAGGCUCCCGGAAUGUAGUGCCCUUCGGGGCACCUUAUAGCCGGGAGUGCAAUGCGGCCAGCCUGGACCGAGGAACGCGCUUCGGCACGGACGCUGGCAUAAUGGUCGCAAACGACCCGUCUUGAAACACGGACCAAGGAGUCUAACAUCUACGCGAGUGUUCGGGUGUCAAACCCGUACGCGCAGUGAAAGCGAACGGAGGUGGGAGCCCCCUCGCGGGGCGCACCAUCGACCGAUCCUGAUGUCUUCGGAUGGAUUUGAGUAAGAGCGUAAAUGUGGGGACCCGAAAGAUGGUGAACUAUGCCUGAAUAGGGCGAAGCCAGAGGAAACUCUGGUGGAGGCUCGCAGCGGUUCUGACGUGCAAAUCGAUCGUCAAAUUUGGGUAUAGGGGCGAAAGACUAAUCGAACCAUCUAGUAGCUGGUUCCUGCC
rnacentral:rRNA from 1 species